rnacentral:rRNA from 1 species
UACGAAGGGGGCUAGCGUUGCUCGGAAUCACUGGGCGUAAAGGGUGCGUAGGCGGGUCUUUAAGUCAGGGGUGAAAUCCUGGAGCUCAACUCCAGAACUGCCUUUGAUACUGAGGAUCUUGAGUUCGGGAGAGGUGAGUGGAACUGCGAGUGUAGAGGUGAAAUCCGUAGAUAUUCGCAAGAACACCAGUGGCGAAGGCGGCUCACUGGCUCGGUACUGACGCUGAGGUGCGAAAGCGUGGGGAGCAAACAGG